GAGCGUAUAGUUCAGUGGUAGAGCACAUGCUUAGCAUGCAGGAGGCCCUGGGUUCAAUCCCCAGUACCUCCU
rnacentral:tRNA from 1 species